AGCAAACACAGUAGUGUGCAA
rnacentral:miRNA from 1 species